UCCCUAGUGGCUCAGACAGUAAAGAAUCUUCCUGUAAUGCAGGAGACCCAGGUUCGAUUCCUGGGUUGGGAA
rnacentral:tRNA from 1 species